rnacentral:rRNA from 1 species
CCCGGUGAUAUUUUAACGGCCGCAGUUAGGAGCUGUGCUAAGGUAGCGUAGUAAGUUGUCCUUUAAAUGGGGAAAGGAAUGAAUGGUUUGACGUGAGAAGAUCUGUCUCUGGAAAAAUUAAAAAAAUUUUCUUCUUGGUGAAAAGCCCAAGAUGGUCAUAAAAGACGAGAAGACCCUUUCGAGCUUGAUAAAGUAGUUUAAUUCUAAGUUACUAAAGUUUGGUUGGGGCAACUCAGGAGCAAGAGAAGACUCCUCGAAGAAGGUGAAGACCCAAACAUUUUGAGAAAAAGAAAAAGCUACCGUAGGGAUAACAGCGUUAUCUUCUCUGAGAGAACAAAUUGAAGGGAGG